rnacentral:tRNA from 50 species
CGGGGUGUAGCGUAGCCUGGUAGCGCGCCUGCUUUGGGAGCAGGAUGUCGGGAGUUCGAAUCUCUCCACCCCGACCA